CUAUGCAUGCAAGGUCGUACGCACGCGCCUUCGGCGCGUGAGUGGCGCACGGCUGAGUAACACGUGGGAACCCGCCCUCCGGUGGGGGAUAACGCGACGAAAGUCGCGCUAAUCCCGCAUACGUCCGCAAGGGGAAAGCGCUUCGGCGCGCCGGAGGAGGGGCCUGCGGCCCAUCAGGUGGUUGGUGGGGUAACGGCCUACCAAGCCGAUGACGGGUAGCUGGUCUGGGAGGAUGACCAGCCAGACUGGGACUGAGACACGGCCCAGACUCCUACGGGAGGCAGCAGCAAGGAAUUUUCGGCAAUGGGCGCAAGCCUGACCGGGCAACGCCGCGUGCGGGAUGACGGCCUUCGGGUUGUAAACCGCUUUUCGGGGGGACGACUACGACGGUACCCCCGGAAGAAGCCCCGGCUAACUCUGUGCCAGCAGCCGCGGUAAGACAGAGGGGGCGAGCGUUGUCCGGAGUUACUGGGCGUAAAGCGCGCGCAGGCGGUGGUCUCA
rnacentral:rRNA from 1 species